rnacentral:misc_RNA from 1 species
AAGUCGUAACAAGGUUUCCGUAGGUGAACCUGCGGAAGGAUCAUUAUCAAAUAAUCCUUUUUUUUAUUUUGUAUUCUAUUCAUUUAGAAUAUAAAAAUAAAAAAAAACAUAAACCAAUCGUGAACCGUACUUGCCUCCAGUGGGAAAAUCAUGAAAAAUGAUUCAUAAAAAAAAGGAAGAAGCGAGUGCAUUUAAUUAUGCCAUGGAUUGUUAACAAUCUUAAUGAUUCACGCUUAUUUCUUUUUUGAUUAUUUUUCUCGUUUUUUUCAUUGGUUGUAUUUUUUUCUUUAUUUACCCUUUGAACAACUCAUUUCAUAUAUUUUUUAUGAACUGAAAUUGUUUACUUUCUUAAAAAGAAGUAAAUGAAAAAAAAAAUUAACGUAAAAAUACAAAAACAACUCUUAGCAACGGAUAUCUUGGUUCUC